UACGAAGGGGGCUAGCGUUGUUCGGAAUUACUGGACGUAAAGCGCACGUAGGCGGGUCUGUAAGUAGAGGGUGAAAUCCCAGGGCUCAACCCUGGAACUGCCUUCUAGACUGCAGGCCUCGAGGUCAGGAGAGGCGAGUGGAAUACCGAGUGUAGAGGUGAAAUUCGUAGAUAUUCGGUGGAACACCAGUGGCGAAGGCGACUCGCUGGACUGAUACUGACGCUGAGGUGCGAAAGCGUGGGGAGCAAACAGG
rnacentral:rRNA from 1 species